rnacentral:rRNA from 1 species
GAAUCUUGCGCAAUGGCCGAAAGGCUGACGCAGCGACGCCGCGUGGGGGAUGAAGGCCUUCGGGUUGUAAACCCCUGUUGCUCGGGACGAACAACACCAUUCGUGGUGUCUGACGGUACCGGGUGAGGAAGCACCGGCUAACUCUGUGCCAGCAGCCGCGGUAAUACAGAGGGUGCGAGCGUUGUCCGGAAUCACUGGGCGUAAAGGGCGCGUAGGCGGUCCGCUAAGUGUGUGGUGAAAGCUCGGGGCUCAACCCCGAGUCGGCCGUGCAAACUGGUGGACUCGAGCAUGUCAGAGGCAGGCGGAAUUCCGGGUGUAGCGGUGGAAUGCGUAGAGAUCCGGAAGAACACCGGUGGCGAAGGCGGCCUGCUGGGACAUGGCUGACGCUGAGGCGCGACAGCGUGGGGAGCAAACAG